rnacentral:rRNA from 1 species
GACGAACGCUGGCGGCGUGCCUAAUACAUGCAAGUUGAGCGAUGAAGAUUGGUGCUUGCCCCAAUUUGAAGAGCAGCGAACGGGUGAGUAACGCGUGGGGAAUCUGCCUUUGAGCGGGGGACAACAUUUGGAAACGAAUGCUAAUACCGCAUAACAACUUUAAACAUAAGUUUUAAGUUUGAAAGAUGCAAUUGCAUCACUCAAAGAUGAUCCCGCGUUGUAUUAGCUAGCUGGUGAGGUAAAGGCUCACCAAGGCGAUGAUACAUAGCCGACCUGAGAGGGUGAUCGGCCACAUUGGGACUGAGACACGGCCCAAACUCCUACGGGAGGCAGCAGUAGGGAAGCUUCGGCAAUGGACGAAAGUCUGACCGAGCAACGCCGCGUGAGUGAAGAAGGUUUUCGGAUCGUAAAACUCUGUUGGUAGAGAAGAACGUUGGUGAGAGUGGAAAGCUCAUCAAGUGACGGUAACUACCCAGAAAGGGACGGCUAACUACGUG